UACGGGGGGGGCAAGCGUUGUUCGGAAUUACUGGGCGUAAAGGGCUCGUAGGUGGCCAACUAAGUCAGACGUGAAAUCCCUCGGCUUAACCGGGGAACUGCGUCUGAUACUGGAUGGCUUGAGUUCGGGAGAGGGAUGCGGAAUUCCAGGUGUAGCGGUGAAAUGCGUAGAUAUCUGGAGGAACACCGGUGGCGAAGGCGGCAUCCUGGACCGACACUGACACUGAGGAGCGAAAACCAGGGGAGCAAACGGG
rnacentral:rRNA from 1 species